rnacentral:lncRNA from 1 species
GGGGUUCACAACAUUCGCAACUAAGGGGGUGUUUGCGGUACAGGAGAGUUCGUACAUGCAAGGUAGUUCGCAAUACAGGGGAGGGUCACUCAUGCAAUAGAGUUCGCAUAAUAAGGGGUGUUCUCAUACAUACUACCCAAUUUUAAUUAAUCAUACAUAAUGGUCUAAAUUAGAUCCCACACUUGAUUUGAAGACACAAACCUUAAUUUAGGAGAGGAGAUUGACG